AGUUAAUGAACUUGAAUAAGUGUAUACCUUGAAAGUAUAAAAUUUUAGUAAAAUCUAUUAUUAACUU
rnacentral:tRNA from 1 species